AUUGAACGCUAGCGGGAUGCCUUACACAUGCAAGUCGAACGAGUGGCGGACGGGUGAGUAAUGUAUCGGAACGUGCCUAGUAGCGGGGGAUAACUACUGGAAACGGUAGCUAAUACCGCAUACUCUCGGAUGUGCCGAUCUCGGUUGAGCUAGGUGGUGGGGUAAAGGCUCACCAAGGCAACGAUCCGUAGCUGGUUUGAGAGGACGACCAGCCACACUGGGACUGAGACACGGCCCAGACACCUACGGGAGGCAGCAGUGGGGAAUUGUGUACAAUGGGGGAAACCCUGAUCCAGCCAUCCCGCGUGUAUGAGAAGGCCUUCGGGUUGGAAAGUACUUUCGGCAGGGAAGCGGUAUCUGCAGAAUAAGCACCGGCUAACUACGUGCCAGCAGCCGCGGUAAUAC
rnacentral:rRNA from 1 species